ncrna:unclassified sequences DTF3800-XI RNA
UGGGUUGGUCGGAAGAUCUAGGCCCACCGUAGGCGGGGAGAAUUCCC